AUUGAACGCUGGCGGCAUGCUUUACACAUGCAAGUCGAACGGCAGCGGGGAGGAGCUUGCUUCUCUGCCGGCGAGUGGCGAACGGGUGAGUAAUACAUCGGAACGUGUCGAGAAGAGGGGGAUAACCACCCGAAAGGGUGGCUAAUACCGCAGAAAUGCUGAGGAAGAAAGCUGGGGACCUAGGAAUAGGCCUAGCGCUUUUUGAGCGGCCGAUGUCGGAUUAGCUAGUUGGUGAGGUAAAGGCUCACCAAGGCGAAGAUCUGUAGCGGCUCUGAGAGGAUGAUCCGCCACACUGGGACUGAGACACGGCCCAGACUCCUACGGGAGGCCGCAGUGGGGAAUUUUGGACAAAGGGGGCAACCCUGAUCCAGCCAUGCCGCGUGUAUGAAGAAGGCCUUAGGGUUGUAAAGUACUUUUGUUAGGGAAGAAAAGUCAGCUGUGAAUAAUGGCUGAUACUGACGGUACCUAAAGAAUAAGCACCGGCUACCUACGUG
rnacentral:rRNA from 1 species